rnacentral:tRNA from 1 species
GCCCGGAUGGCGGAACUGGCAGACGCGACGGACUCAAAACCCGUUGCCAGCGAUGGCAUGUGGGUUCGAUCCCCACUCCGGGCA